UGGCAGAGCCUUGGAGCACCAUGGCUUCCGCUAAGGACAUCGACGAUUUCAUCAAUUCCCUCAAAGCCAAAUUGUUUCAAUUCGUGGAAUUGUUUUGUACAAACCUUCAAAAGAAGUCUAAAGAAGAGGUCUGCUCAGAUCUUAUUUUAAUGGAGAGCAUAUGCAGUGCAGAUAUGGCUGACGCCGUGGAUGCUCAAGUUAACAACUCGGAAUCCUGUCCAUUGCUUCGUGAAACACUGCAAGAGUUGCGUCGCAGAGUCUGUGAGCCCUCUGGCUCCUACAGUCCCCCAGGCCGGAACCAGCCCUUUGACUCCUCCACUUCAAGGGAUUGGUAUGACUGGAUACUUGAGCUAUUUAAAGAGCUCCUGCGGCGACUGCAGCAGAAGUUUCAGAAAGCCCUGGAGUGGCUUCAUCAGAUAGCGGCUGCCUGCCUACAGGGCUUGCGCAUAGCGGCUGAGGCCGUCUGGAGAGUGUUGAAUGAUUUUUGCUCCUCUCUGGAGCAGCUCUUCAGGAGCCUCAUCCAGGUCUAGAAGCCCCAAGGGGUCCCCAGGGAGCUUGGCCUCAUCUAGACGCCUCAAUUUCCCCUUCUCACAGGGCAUCUUCUGAUGCACCCUUUACCCUCCUGCUCACCCUUGACCCAUCCUCAUAGCCUGCCUCACCCCCUCCCCUUCAGGGAGGGCACCACCCAGCCCAUCUAACUCUCCCUGCCUGAAUUUUCCUGCACCAGGUCUGGCCUGCCUGUCACUGUAGUGCUGAUGUGCUAAUAAAAGUCAGUUAACCCAAAUGGAGUGUCUGUGU
ensembl:lncRNA